rnacentral:lncRNA from 10 species
CUGUUUGGCUCCAACUGAUCAAUCAUUUCUAAAAAGAAUGGGCACAUCGCAGAGCCAUGUCUUUGGUUUUCAAAGAGAGGCAGAAAUCCUGCAUUUUUACAUACGAAUUUCCUGAUUUUUAAGUGCAAGCUAUAAGUCCAUCAAAACAGUUCUGGUUUUCAAGCCAACCUUGUAAGACCACAGGGCUAUGGCCUGUGCUCUUCUCUAAGUCCUCUUGGUAAAUCACAGAAGUGGCUCAGCCCGUUUGUAAAAGCCACUGAAGAUCUUCCCAUCUACUUCAGAGACUGACAACAUGAUACAAGCCCUCAAGUGAGUUACAGCGAAGGUGACCAACCCAUCUUCAACUGCCUGGAACUUUCCUGAUUUCAAAAUGAAGAGAUCAACUAAAUUUUGAAGCGGUGACCCUUGAAUGUUUCUAGAAGGUGAGAUGCGACUUGGCUCUGUGUUGUUUGUAUUACAUGAGGAGUCUAUCAAAGAGUGUCUGGACAUCUUGG